rnacentral:rRNA from 1 species
GGUGAACGCUGGCGGCGUGCUUAAGACAUGCAAGUCGAACGCAGUCUUCGGACUGAGUGGCGCACGGGUGAGUAACACGUAACUGACCUACCCCCAAGUCGCGAAUAACCAGCCGAAAGGAUGGCUAAUACGUGAUGUGAUGAUCCGCUGUGGCGGAUCAUUAAAGACUUGAUCGCUUGGGGAUGGGGUUGCGUUCCAUCAGCUAGUUGGUAAGGUAAAGGCUUACCAAGGCAACGACGGAUAGCCGGCCUGAGAGGGUGGCCGGCCACAGGGGCACUGAGACACGGGUCCCACUCCUACGGGAGGCGGCAGUUAGGAAUCUUCCACAAUGGGCGCAAGCCUGAUGGAGCGACGCCGCGUGAGGGAUGAAGGUUCUCGGAUCGUAAACCUCUGAACCAACGACGAAAGACCCGACAAGGGAGAUGACGGUAGUUGGGUAAUAGCACCGGCCAACUCCGUGCCAGCAGCCGCCGUAAAAC